CCUACGGGAUGCAGCAGUGAUGAAUAUUGGUCAAUGGACGAGAGUCUGAACCAGCCAAGUAGCGUGAAGGAUGACUGCCCUAUGGGUUGUAAACUUCUUUUAUAAAGGAAUAAAACGAGGCACGUGUGCCUUUUUGCAUGUACUUUAUGAAUAAGGAUCGGCUAACUCCGUGCCAGCAGCCGCGGUAAUACGGAGGAUCCGAGCGUUAUCCGGAUUUAUUGGGUUUAAAGGGAGCGUAGAUGGGUUGUUAAGUCAGUGGUAAAAUUGCGGGGCUCAACCCUGUCGAGCCGUUGAAACUGGCAGACUUGAGUUGGCGAGAAGUACGCGGAAUGCGCGGUGUAGCGGUGAAAUGCAUAGAUAUCGCGCAGAACUCCGAUUGCGAAGGCAGCGUACCGGCGCCAGACUGACGCUGAGGCACGAAAGCGUGGGGAUCGAACAGGAUUAGAUACCCUUGUAGUC
rnacentral:rRNA from 1 species